GGAGGGUAGAGCUCAGUGGUAGAGCACAUGCUUAGCAGACAGGAGGUCCCGGGUUCAAUCCCCGGUACCUCCA
rnacentral:tRNA from 1 species